rnacentral:lncRNA from 1 species
GGGUUUAAAGAAAAGGUUUAUGGGUAUUUAUAGGAAGAAGAUGUUGAAACGUUUUAGAUGGUAAUGGUGUUAGUGGGACACGUGGCCAUUUCUGAUGGAAAUGAAAAAGAGGUAGAAGUUGAAAAGAAACCAUGACGUGAGGAAGUGAUGGAAGUAGGCUGUGAACGUGGGCUAGACGUGACAUUGUGGAGAAAGUGUAAUGAUGAAUCUGCAUUGGAAAUUGAGAUUAUCAGACUUGCAUUUAAUGAGGUUUAAAUGACAUGGCAUCAAAGCACUGAUUGACAACAAAUGACUGUUUCUCCAAGAACAAACAGUCGAAACGUCUUUG